rnacentral:rRNA from 1 species
CGAGUGAAGCGGGAAAAGCUCAAAUUUAAAAUCUGGCUGUGGCAGUCCGAGUUGUAAUCUAGAGAAGUGCUACCCGCGCUGGACCGUGUACAAGUCUCCUGGAACGGAGCAUCAUAGAGGGUGAGAAUCCCGUCUUUGACACGGACUGCCAGGGCUAUGUGGUGCGCUCUCAACGAGUCGAGUUGUUUGGGAAUGCAGCUCAAAAUGGGUGGUAAAUUCCAUCUAAAGCUAAAUAUGGCGAGAGACCGAUAGCGAACAAGUACCGUGAGGGAAAGAUGAAAAGAACUUUGGAAAGAGAGUUAAACAGUACGUGAAAUUGCUGAAAGGGAAACGCUUGAAGUCAGUCGCGCUGGCCAGGGAUCAACCUCGCUCUUUUGUGAGGCGCACUUUCUGGUGGGGGUCAGCAUCAGUUUUGGUUGCUGGAUAAAGGCCUUGGGAAUGUGGCAUCUCGGAUGUGUUAUAGCCCUUGGUUGGAUCAGUGGCUGGGAUUGAGGAACUCAGCACGCCGCAAGGCCGGGUUUUAGCCACGUACGUGCUUGGGAUGCUGGCAUAAUGGCUUUAAUCGACCCGUCUUGAAACACGGACCAAGGAGUCUAACAUGCCUGCGAGUAUUUGGGUGGAAAACCCGAGUGCGCAAUGAAAGUGAAAGUUGAGAUCCCUGUCGUGGGGAGCAUCGACGCCCGGACCUGAGGCUUGCUGACGGUUCUGCGGUAGAGCAUGUAUGUUGGGACCCGAAAGAUGGUGAACUAUGCCUGAAUAGGGUGAAGCCAGAGGAAACUC